CGCUCUCCCCAAGGACGAAGCCAUGCAUGCCCGCUCACCCGGGACGCGGCGGACGGCUCAGGACAACGGUUGCACCCGGCGCGGCGGUCCCUGCUAGCCGGACACCGCUGGCAACCCGGCGCCAAGACGUGCGCGCAAGGGCGGGCGCGACGCGGGCGAGCAGCGUGACGCAGA
rnacentral:rRNA from 1 species